UACCAAUCACAAUAGAAUACUACACAACGCAAUCCAACCAUUCCAGGAAAUUGGAUUUCCAAUAUUUCUUUUAUGUUGCCGUAGUAGACAUCGUCACCAGAAGAAGAUGAAACACCAGCAUCAUAUGUUGUCUUAGAAUGACAUUUCCUUGUGAAUGCAUAUCCUCGCGUACAAAAUUUAGGAUAUGAUUUGACCACAUAGUUUGGUCCCUGCACAAAUUCGCGUAUCCAAUCAUCGAACACAAGACCUCUGGCCAAAC
rnacentral:lncRNA from 1 species